rnacentral:lncRNA from 1 species
GGGAUAAGAAACCUUCCUCUUAAUUUGGAGAUUAGAGGGAAGAGAGAGCCGCUAUUCCUCGGGGUCCUGCAUUCAGUGGUAAGCCAAUUCCCCCAGACAUCUUCCUGCUCCCUGCUGACAGUGAAGAUGCCACUGCUACUCCUUCACUUGCUCAUUCUGCAAAAGUUUGUAGCGCUUCUGCAAGGAGAAUGGCAUUGUUAAGUCCCUACAGGAAGUGGAGAAAAAGAACCAGGAUUGGGAGGUCACAGAACCUGAAAACAACAUGAUUGCCUCUGUGGACUUCGGUUUCAGUUACUCACACCUGGGCUUUUUAGAAGUAAUUUUAAUGGAUACAGUCAAAGCUCAGCCUCUAGAAGAUCCCACAUGACCCCACUGUAGGAGCAUGAGAAGAACGUUCAGGAAGAAGGGGUUCAAGUGGUAGAUGAUAAGAAUCUACAGGUGGCACAAUAGACAUAUUACCUUCUUUGGUGGAGUCUGUAAAGAUAUCACUAAAGUUUAAUAAUAAAGUAUGAAUAUUCAGACCCUU